GGGUAGGGGAGCGUUCUGUAAGCCUGCGAAGGUGUGCUGUGAGGCAUGCUGGAGGUAUCAGAAGUGCGAAUGCUGACAUAAGUAACGAUAAAGCGGGUGAAAAGCCCGCUCGCCGGAAGACCAAGGGUUCCUGUCCAACGUUAAUCGGGGCAGGGUGAGUCGACCCCUAAGGCGAGGCCGAAAGGCGUAGUCGAUGGGAAACAGGUUAAUAUUCCUGUACUUGGUGUUACUGCGAAGGGGGGACGGAGAAGGCUAUGUUGGCCGGGCGACGGUUGUCCCGGUUUAAGCGUGUAGGCUGGUUUUCCAGGCAAAUCCGGAAAAUCAAGGCUGAGGCGUGAUGACGAGGCACUACGGUGCUGAAGCAACAAAUGCCCUGCUUCCAGGAAAAGCCUCUAAGCAUCAGGUAACAUCAAAUCGUACCCCAAACCGACACAGGUGGUCAGGUAGAGAAUACCAAGGCGCUUGAGAGAACUCGGGUGAAGGAACUAGGCAAAAUGGUGCCGUAACUUCGGGAGAAGGCACGCUGAUAUGUAGGUGAAGUCCCUCGCGGAUGGAGCUGAAAUCAGUCGAAGAUACCAGCUGGCUGCAACUGUUUAUUAAAAACACAGCACUGUGCAAACACGAAAGUGGACGUAUACGGUGUGACGCCUGCCCGGUGC
rnacentral:rRNA from 1 species